rnacentral:tmRNA from 2 species
GGGGAUGUAAAGGUUUCGACAGGGAGAGCGAAGCCGGAGCAGCGGGUAGUGGUGCGGACCCACUCAAAAAGCCGCAAAAAAAAUAGCUAACAACAACAAAUUAGCAGUCGCGGCCUAACAUAGGCCGCUGUCCUUCCCAUCUUACCGCGGGGUGGUGUUUGGGCAUCAAAUGAGCGGUGCACGUGAACGGACCUAAGCUUUGCGGACCGUCAUGAACUCAUGAAGCUACCGACCCUGACAGCCUGCUUACCGGCGGUCAGGCGGGGGAAUCUCAAAGAUAAGCUGCACCCGGAGAUACUCUUGCAGAACUCUUUUUGGACACGGGUUCGAUUCCCGUCAUCUCCACCA